ACUGUGGUCGGGCCUGUUCCCGAGGGAGCCGUAUAUCCUCUGCCUCGGGCUCAUCAGAGUCCUGAAAGAAGAAAAAGGAUUCUGCUAGUCCGUGGAAUAUCCAAAAUUUACUGAAACACUGUUUGACUAAACCCAGUGACAUGGUUCCAAUCCAACCUUCAGUUUCAACUUCUGUAAUUAGUAACAUACUGGCGUAACCUCCACCACAACUGAUCUGUGGCACCUGCUGAACACUAGACACUAGAAGAGGACCACACAUCCACCUGCUGAACAAUAGACACUAGAAGAGGACCAAACAUCCACCUGCUGAACAAUAGACACAAAGGACCAAACAUCCACCUGCUGAACAAUAGACACUAGAAGAGGACCAAACAUCCACCUGCUGAACAAUAGACACUAGAAGAGGACCACACAUCCACCUGCUGAACAAUAGACACUAGAAGAGGACCAAACAUCCACCUGCUGAGGACCAAACAUCCCACCUGCUGAACAAUAGACACUAGAAGAGGACCAAACAUCCACCUGCUGAACAAUAGACACUAGAAGAGGAUCAAACAUCCACUGAACACUAGACACUAGAAGAGGACCAAACAUCCCACCUGCUGAACACUAGACAGUAGAAGAGGACCAAACAUCCCACCUGCUGAACACUAGACACUAGAAGAGGACCAAACAUCCCACCUGCUGAACACUAGACACUAGAAGAGGACCAAACAUCCCACCUGCUGAACACUAGACAGUAGAAGAGGACCAAACAUCCCACCUGCUGAACACUAGACA